UGCCGCGUGCAGGAAGACUGCCCUAUGGAUUGUAAACUGCUUUUAUAUAGGAAGAAACCUUGGUACGUGUACCAAGCUGGCGGUACUAUAAGAAUAAGGAUCGGCUAACUCCGUGCCAGCAGCCGCGGUAAUACGGAGGAUCCAAGCGUUAUCCGGAAUCAUUGGGUUUAAAGGGUCCGUAGGUGGAUAAUUAAGUCAGAGGUGAAAUCUUGCAGCUCAACUGUAAAAUUGCCUUUGAUACUGGUUAUCUUGAGUUAUUAUGAAGUAGUUAGAAUAUGUAGUGUAGCGGUGAAAUGCAUAGAUAUUACAUAGAAUACCAAUUGCGAAGGCAGAUUACUAAUAAUCAACUGACACUGAUGGACGAAAGCGUGGGUAGCGAACAGGAUUAGAUACCCUGGUAGUCCACGCCGUAAACGAUGGUUACUAGCUGUUUGGACCUUGUGUCUGAGUGGCUAAGCGAAAGUGAUAAGUAACCCACCCGGGGAGUACGUUCGCAAGAAUGAAACUCAAAGGAAUUGACGGGGGCCCGCACAAGCGGUGGAGCAUGUGGUUUAAUUCGAUGAUACGCGAGGAACCUUACCAGGGCUUAAAUGUAAGUUGCAUUAGUUAGAGAUAGCUAUUUCUUCGGACCACUUACAAGGUGCUGCAUGGUUGUCGUCAGCUCGUGCCGUGAGGUGUCAGGUUAAGUCCUAUAACGAGCGCAACCCCUGUUGUUAGUUGCCAGCGAGUCAUGUCGGGAACUCUAACAAGACUGCCAGUGCAAACUGUGAGGAAGGUGGGGAUGACGUCAAAUCAUCACGGCCCUUACGUCCUGGGCUACACACGUGCUACAAUGGUCGGUACAGAGAGCAGCCACUACGCGAGUAGGAGCGAAUCUUAAAAGCCGAUCACAGUUCGGAUCGGAGUCUGCAACUCGACUCCGUGAGGCUGGAAUCGCUAGUAAUCGGAUAUCAGCCAUGAUCCGGUGAAUACGUUCCCGGGCCUUGUACACACCGCCCGUCAAGCCAUGGAAGUUGGGAGUGCCUGAAGUCCGUUACCGUAAGGAGCGGCCUAGGGUAAAAUCGAUAACUAGGGCUAAGUCGUAACAAGGUAGCCGUACCGGAAGGUGCGGCUGGAACACCUCCUUUCU
rnacentral:rRNA from 1 species